CACGUAGGGUGCGAGCGUUGUCCGGAAUUAUUGGGCGUAAAGAGCUCGUAGGCGGUGUGUCGCGUCGGCCGUGAAAACCUGCAGCUUAACUGUGGGCUUGCGGUCGAUACGGGCGGACUGGAGUUCGGCAGGGGAGACUGGAAUUCCUGGUGUAGCGGUGAAAUGCGCAGAUAUCAGGAGGAACACCGGUGGCGAAGGCGGGUCUCUGGGCCGAUACUGACGCUGAGGAGCGAAAGCGUGGGGAGCGAACAGG
rnacentral:rRNA from 1 species